rnacentral:rRNA from 1 species
GAGUUAUGUCAUGUUAUCGAUAUGUGAAUACAUAGCAUAUCAGAAGGCACACCCGGAGAACUGAAACAUCUUAGUACCCGGAGGAAGAAAAAGAAAAUUCGAUUCCCUUAGUAGCGGCGAGCGAAACGGGAAGAGCCCAAACCAACAAGCUUGCUUGUUGGGGUUGUAGGACACUCUAUACGGAGUUACAAAGGACGACAUUAGACGAAUCAUCUGGAAAGAUGAAUCAAAGAAGGUAAUAAUCCUGUAGUCGAAAAUGUUGUCUCUCUUGAGUGGAUCCUGAGUACGACGGAACACGUGAAAUUCCGUCGGAAUCUGGGAGGACCAUCUCCUAAGGCUAAAUACUCUCUAGUGACCGAUAGUGAACCAGUACCGUGAGGGAAAGGUGAAAAGCACCCCGGAAGGGGAGUGAAAUAGAACCUGAAACCGUGUGCUUACAAGUAGUCAGAGCCCGUUAAUGGGUGAUGGCGUGCCUUUUGUAGAAUGAACCGGCGAGUUACGAUUUGAUGCAAGGUUAAGCAGUAAAUGUGGAGCCGUAGCGAAAGCGAGUCUGAAUAGGGCGUUUAGUAUUUGGUCGUAGACCCGAAACCAGGUGAUCUACCCUUGGUCAGGUUGAAGUUCAGGUAACACUGAAUGGAGGACCGAACCGACUUACGUUGAAAAGUGAGCGGAUGAACUGAGGGUAGCGGAGAAAUUCCAAUCGAACCUGGAGAUAGCUGGUUCUCUCCGAAAUAGCUUUAGGGCUAGCCUCAAGUGAUGAUUAUUGGAGGUAGAGCACUGUUUGGACGAGGGGCCCCUCUCGGGUUACCGAAUUCAGACAAACUCCGAAUGCCAAUUAAUUUAACUUGGGAGUCAGAACAUGGGUGAUAAGGUCCGUGUUCGAAAGGGAAACAGCCCAGACCACCAGCUAAGGUCCCAAAAUAUAUGUUAAGUGGAAAAGGAUGUGGCGUUGCCCAGACAACUAGGAUGUUGGCUUAGAAGCAGCCAUCAUUUAAAGAGUGCGUAAUAGCUCACUAGUCGAGUGACACUGCGCCGAAAAUGUACCGGGGCUAAACAUAUUACCGAAGCUGUGGAUUGUCCUUUGGACAAUGGUAGGAGAGCGUUCUAAGGGCGUUGAAGCAUGAUCGUAAGGACAUGUGGAGCGCUUAGAAGUGAGAAUGCCGGUGUGAGUAGCGAAAGACGGGUGAGAAUCCCGUCCACCGAUUGACUAAGGUUUCCAGAGGAAGGCUCGUCCGCUCUGGGUUAGUCGGGUCCUAAGCUGAGGCCGACAGGCGUAGGCGAUGGAUAACAGGUUGAUAUUCCUGUACCACCUAUAAUCGUUUUA